rnacentral:rRNA from 1 species
GCUGACUUCGUGCGAGCAUGCGCGGGGAUGCGUAGUUGGCGAUGGUUGUCCGGAGUUACGUGGCGUAAAGUAUGCGUAGUGUGAAACGUAAGUGGGAUGUUAAAUCCCCUGGCUCAACCCGGGAACUGCAUUCCAAACUGGGUAUCGGGAGGGCAGGAGAGGAAAGCGGAAUUCCUAGUGUAGCGGUGAAAUGCGUAGAUAUUAGGAAGAACACCGGUGGCGAAGGCGGCUUUCUGGACUGUAACUGACACUGAGGCAUGAAAGCGUGGGGAGCAAACAGGAUUAGAUACCCGGUUAGUC